GCAGCCAAAGUCAUAGAUACCGCGGCGGUGUUGCUGGAUCUGCUAACUGGGUCAAUCAUUGAAGGUGUGGCUCACAUUGGUUCCCUGGGGGCUCUGUACUCCAGUUCUGCCACCAUAUGACACUUCCUGAAGCUGAAGGAAAAGGUGAGAAGCCUGCAGGCACACUGAUGUCAUGCCUGCAUAUUUCUUCUUACUUUGUGCAGUGCAUUGUUGGUAAGCAAUGUCAAUGCAUACAUUGACGAGUGACUGACUGACGGACUCCUUGUAAGUCUAUCCUGGUUUUUACCUACUCUGGAUUGUUGAAGGAUGAAUGCUAGAAGCUUGGGCUCCCUGGGAAGAGCUGAUGAGAACAGAGGUGAGCACAGAGCCAAGGCAUCUGCCCACCUGGAGACGCAUACCCUCUCCCUUGCCUGGCACAGUAGCCACUGCUGGAAAACAUGUGUAGUGGCAGAAGAUCCGCUGUAAAACAAACGCAUGAACUCUACAUGCAGCCAUUCAGAAGAUGCUGUUGUGCUGGCCUCCUUCAUCCCCCAUCAGCCCUGUUCCCAUAGCAACUGGCCUCCCUCCAAACCAGAGCUGACUGAGGGCGUCCAGAUUAACUCCUUCCGAUGUAGCAGGGUCUUCUGUCCACAUGGCCCAGAUGCUUAUAGCACUAAUGUCUACUGGAAGACAGAGACACUGUGAUACUGUGAGUGUUAAAGGCCCGAGUUACAUCUUUAGGAGGCAAUUGUGCAAACCUGAGUAUUCCAGGAACGUUUUUGACCUCAGUCGAAUUCUCACUAUAUGUCUGUCUCACUAUAUGUCUGGGAGAGUAUGCUUGUUCCUAAGGUACUGCAGGGAGAGAAGGGAGUGCACACUGAUGCUUGGGGGAUACUCAGCUUGCAGGUAGCUCCCAUCACCUGGGUCCAGGUGCAUGCAAGCUCACUGCUACUGUGAUGGCCCUGCACAGCAGAGAGGAUCUAUCGCAAAUGUACUGUGCUGUGAUUCAGCUGGGAAAGCAGAAACCCACAGCCACUAAGACACUACCGAGCCUGCAGGUUGCCCAGGAGAGCCUUAUCAAAUUGAUGCCUAAAUUGAUUCCAUCUUGAGUGGAGUCACGUCAGAGCUCGCAGGACUGCAGACUUCCAAACAGAGUCGCUGGAUGAAACCCGGGGAUGGAUGGAAAAGCAAGGACGUGCGAGAUGGUCUGGGAAGAGGAAAGAAGAAUCAUUGGUCUGUCCCAAGAGCUGCAGGUGGCUGACUGGCAUCGCCACGAAGGAUGACAAGGCCAGGGCCACAGGAGCUGUACAGGCUAGGAGGACUGGGAAGAGAUGGAGACACUGGAAUCUGAGCUCAGAUUCUGCCUGAGGUUUGUAACCACAGCAUUGCUAUUGGAGAGAGAGGGGUGGGGGAAGAGGAUAUAAGAGGGCGGAUGGCGAGCUUUUGCAAUGGUGGCCAUCUGUUUUCCAAGCUGAAAAUCAGGACACGCUCUGAAAGGAUUUUCCUGUUGCUGGAAUUGAGAGCUGCCGUCUGUGAGAGGCGGUUUGGAUGGUUGCCUGAAGGGUGGUAUUUUUGAGACAUUCCAGUGGCUUGUGGGGCCCAUGAGACAGUCCAAGGGUAGGGCAUUGCCAUGGGAACCACUGGGCCUGACCACUGGGCCAGGAUCCUGGUGCAGGGCCACAUGGCCAGGACACUUCAUUGGCUGUGAACCCAAGACAUCAAGGGUCACAAAGAUAAGCCUGAUCCACUGAGCAACCCACACUGGAGGGACGUGGAAGGGAAGAAGGCUGGGUGUGGCCCACAUCAGCCUAUGUUCUGAGCCAAUCAAGACAGUGGUCUGGCAGACUCCAGGAAGUGCUCCAGGACAGGUCUGCAGGGGACACGAGGAAGAAAAGUCAGGCUAUGUCAUAACCUGUGUAGACACUUGAGUCUUCCCUCUGUAGCACUAUGUUCCCCUGCCUUCCUAAGUCAUGUGGGGACCACCUGAUUGCUGGUUCAUCUUUGUGGUGGGUGGGGAUAGUGACUCUCUUCUCGGGUAAUGCCUGGAGUUUGGGCAGAAACUGACUGAUGUGUGCAUGGCCGUUCCAUAAGGCUAUUGGCUGUUUCCCUCGGCCCAGUAGGAGGCUGAGGGCAUGCCAGAAUGGCGAGCUCGGCAGAAUGGGAGAAAUUUGAGGGCUUGGGAAACACAUGACCCACUCACCCAGGGCAGUCGCAGGUUCCCAGCCAAGCCCUGCUUGUGGGUUGGUCAGGGUUUUGUCAGCAACAAAAGAACAAUACCCUUCCCAAAAGGCUAGGCACUAGGAAAGUGCAAGCCCUGCCUCUCCUCCACUUGCCAACAUCGUGCGUCCAAAUGGUCCUGCUCCUCCAAGUCUUCCAUACUGCUCUGGGUUCAUGAGAGCUGUCAGGUGCCUCCAGGACAUCAAACUUCCUGCUUGGUAAUACCUUCCUGGUAAACUCAGCACUGCCCUGAGGUCCCUUAAAAAAAAAAAAAAAAAAAAAAAAAACUCGAAAAACCAAAAACCAAACAAACAAAAAACCCCAAAAAUAUUGCUUUUAAAGAAGGGAACAAGGGGCUGGGAAUGUUGGUAGAUGUUUUUACCUAGCAUGCUAGAAGCCCUUGGGUUCAAUCCCCAGCAUGGCCAAACCCAGUCUGGUGACUCAGCUGAAAUCCCAUUACUCAGAACCUAGAAGCAGACAGGUCAGAAGUUCAAGGUUAUCCUAAGCUACAUACCAAAUUUGAGACCAGCCAGGGAAACGUGUGAAACCAUGUCAAAAACAAAACAAAACAACAACAACAACAAAAAACUUUUCAAAGCAGGAAAGAGCUGGAAGACAUCUGUCUCCCCUACUCUCAGACUUCCAUCGGCUGAGUUUUCUCCCUCAGGCCUUGGUCAUGGCAAAGCCAAGGAGAGCUGGAACCCAGCCCAGCUUUUUGCCAAUAAUUCACCACCUGACCUUACACUUCCUCUCAGAGCCUCCUUGUCUUCCUUUGUAAAUGGAGGGGUUCAGACAAGACUGUUUCUCAGGUCUAAUCCUGACCUCUCAACGAUUGUAUUCAUUGAUCUUUUCUGCUGGUUCAUUCAUACAUAGCACUUCCACUUCCUGACAUAGUAUUUUUUUUAAUGUGUUUGUUUACUGUCUGUCUUACUCUGAUUCGGUUCCUUGCUCCCUGAGGGCAGGAGAUUUGGCUUGUUUUAGUCACUGCUAGAUUCCUGCCAUCUGUAAAAAGAAAAAAGAAAAAAAGAAACAAAAAGAGAUGUGAGUUUGUGCCUGUGUUCUGAAAGGAAGCUGAGGUUGCACACUUAGAAUCCAGAAGGGGACGUCACUGAAAGCCUCCUUCCUAGUUGUAGUCAAGGUAAGAACUCAGCUCUGGGUAGUGAGUAUCUGGGGUGGAGCCGGAGGGUUAGACCAGGCUUCCCAGAAGGGUUGCCUAGCAAGACCGCAGCCACGCCCACCUGGCCCAGUUGGAAAGCAAGCGUGGACUACUCCCACUCAGACCUCCUUUUUCUUCAACCCCUGCUUUCCCCUAGAAGGGUAGAAAGGAGGGACUUGGAUCUGGAGUGGGGCGGGGCCCACUCAGCCUAGUACCCGAUAAACACAUCUGCUGGGUACUGGCCCCGUGCCAGCGUGUACACUGCUGACCAGCAUGUGAUCUGCUGGCGCAUAAAGCUAAGGCUGUGCCCACCAGUCUGCCCUACAUGACCCGACACGGUGUUGGGAACUGUCCACUCGCUCUCCCUGGAGCUGCUCUAACUGUGUCUAGAUCCAAUUUGGGGCAGCCAGCCUGGUUUGUAACAUUACCGCGAGGAUGGAAAUAGAGCAUAGUUGAAGGCAGGGAGGAGACAGGGGUCUGUCUAGUCCGCGAGUGCUGGCUAUGUGGAGCUACCAGCCCUCUGUAGGAUGUCCUUGAAGUUUAGUUGACUAGGAUCUAAAAUCCUACUCCAUCAUUUCUUUGCUGGGCAAUCUUGGGCCUGCUUCUUGACAUCUCUGGUCCUCUUGUUUUAUCCUCUAUAAAAAUGGGGAUCAAGGGGAUGUAGAAGGUCUGUGAGGAUUUAAAGAGCAUCUGUGCACCAGGCUUAGCACAGAGCCUGGACACACCGCGAAUGCUCUGUUAUUAUAAUUAGAGACCAGAGGCCACCCCCUUCCCUAUUCUCGCUCCUCAGGGAUCUCCACCCCCUCUCCAGCUCCAUUUAAUUCUGAGUGUUUUAGGUCAUUCUAUGGCUGGCGGUCUGCCAAGGCUCUGACAAAGACAGGAGUUCCUGCUCAUUCAUCCUAAUGCAAGUUCCUGCGUUUAUGAUAAUAGGGGAAAUGCAUGAAAGGGCUCACUGCCUGUGGAGGGGAAAUCGGCUUAGAAUUGAAAACCGAGCCCUUCCUAGGCCCAGCUCUCCCCUCCCAGCGCUUUGGCUGGGGCGACAGAAGGGAGGGUGGCUGGGAGGAGCCGAGAGGGGAAGAGGGCGGUGAGGCAGAACUCACUGAAGGGAACCGAAGGGCAGGCAGGGGGCCGCGGGAGAGGGCCUGGUUCGCCCGGUGAAUGGGUUUCAGGGUGGCUGAGGAAGCCUGCCAAAAAGGCGAAGUGAAAAGGCCAGACCCUGCGAGGCGCUGCGCUAGCGGUUUCCAUGGCGACCCCAGCUGCCUCUGGGCCCCGGUGGCUGGUUGGCUGGCUCCGUGGCGGGGCCUCGUCUGCCACCGCACGGUUACUCAGCUUGAAAAAGAGGCAAAGAAAAUCUGAAGGGUUGUCUAGGCCCAGUCAGUGCCACUGUGGCUCCCAGCCUCACGGGGAUGGAAUCCUGAGGCCAGUGGAUGGAUGCAGGUACAUCUGGUCCAGCAGAGGGGUCUGGUUAGCAGGGAGAGGGUUUGGAGAGAGACAGACAGACAGAGAGACAGGCAGAGACAGACACAGAGAGACAGGCAGAGACAGAGACACAGAGAGAGACAGAGGAGAGGAACACACACACACACACACACACACACACACACACACACACACACACACGGCGGGGGCGGGGAGCCUGAAAGAGUGCCCUGGGCUCUGUUGGUGGAGUGCUUGCCUACACUGAAUAGGGCCCUGGGUUCAAUUCCCAGCACUGCAUACAUUAAAUGGUGUUCUACACCAGGAAUCCCGGCAUUUGUGAGGUGGAGGUAUGAAGAUCUGAAGAUCAAGGUCAUCUUUAGCUACAUACUGCCCUAGCAAUUAGAUAUUAAAACAUAAAAAGACAUUUUAAAGGGUAAAAGACAUUUUAAAGGGUGUGUGUGUGUGUGUGGCCUACAUGAAUCAGAGAUUUAAGGUCUUUUGGAGUUGGGGUUACAGGCAGUAAUGAGUAGGAUGCUAAGAGCUGAACUUGAGUCCCCUGGGAGAACAGCCGAGGUAUCUAUCUUUAUGGCCUCAGCAGGUGGUGGCGCACGCCUUUAAUCCCAGCAGGGCCCCCCCCCCCCAGGCAGGCAGAUUUCUGAGUUCGAGGCCAGCCUGGUCUACAAAGUGAGUUCCAGGACAGCCAGGGCUAUACAGAGAAACCCUGUCUCCAAAAACAAAGAGAGAGAGAGAUGAAUAUAUGAACAUAUAUGCAAGGCAGGGCAGGGCCGGAGAGAUGGCUCAUGGGUUCAGAAGAACACCGGCUGUCCUUCCAGAAGAACUGGGUUUUAUUCCCAGUGCCCACAACUCCAGUCCCAAGGGGUUUCUUUGAUGCCCUUUUCUGGUCUCUGCAAGCACCAGACAUAGACAUGGCACACACACUUACAUGCUAGUAAAGCAUCUAUAUACAUGAAAGUAAGAAAUAAAGAUUAAAACAUUGAGAAUAAAAGGAGAGAUUAAGAAAAGAGUGAAGCGGGGCGGUAGUGGUGCACGCCUUUAAUCCUAACACUUGGGAGGCAGAGGCGGGCGGAUUUCUGAGUUCAAGGCCAGCCUGGUCUACAAAGUGAGUUCCAGGACAGCCAGGGCUAUACAGAGAAACCCUGUCUCGGAAAAAAAAAAAAAAAAAAGAAAGAAAGAAAGAGAGAGAGAGAAGAAAAGAAAAGAGUGAAAUCCAUCUCAUUUGUCACUGAAGAAGGCCCUGGGAAAACCUUUACUCAGAUUGCCGAUUGCCUUCCAAAGAUCCACCCUUCGGCACACAUCUGUAGAUCCAGCUAGGGAAGGCUGAGGCAGGAGGAUUGCCUGGACUACAUGGGGGAGUUCAAGACCAGUCUGGGUAAUUAAUGGAGACCUUGUUCCUGGAAGACUAAAAAGAGAGAGGGGUAGGUAGAGCACUCACACAAGCCUUGGAU